AUCUAGCUGAUGAGUCCCAAAUAGAACUGAACGCGCUUCAAACUGGAU
rnacentral:hammerhead_ribozyme from 1 species